AUGGCUUCCAGGCCCACUUCCUAGAGGUAAAGUUUAAGCAUUACUGACUAUAGGCAAACAAUGGCCUCUCAGCUGUCCAUCAGAAGAAGCUACAGAAAAGUAAGUUUUCUUUAUUCAGUCAACAAAUAUUUACUGAGUUCCCACUAUAGGCCAGGCAUACUCUGCUGGGCGCCGGGAAGAGAAAACACCUGCUCUCAGGAGGGAGAGCGACAGGGGUUACUGGCUCAAAUCUGUGUGUGAGAUUGAAGUUCUAAGGAAGGCUUUGACCUAAUGUAGUGAGAAGAAUAAAACACAAAUAAUUUAUAGUAAAUGAGGAUGAGAGAGACCACAAAAUUUAAUGUUAUUAAAUUCUUCCUCAUAAGGAGGAAGAAACAAGGCCUUUAAGAAAAACGUUGUAAGUUGUCAUUGUUUUUUGUUUUUUGUUUUUUUUUU
rnacentral:lncRNA from 1 species